rnacentral:lncRNA from 1 species
AAGCAGAUCAACCUAUCAAAUACACACUUGCCUUGAAACGUAUGAAGUAACCAAAGCUGAUUUCCAACACUAAACCUGACAUAACCGCUUGCCUUGGGGCUUGGUAUACGUGGGAUAGGAUUCUUCAGACAGGUCUGGAAGGUAAAGCCUUGUGUAGAUUAUUUAUCACAUUUUCUCUCUCUAAGUUUCGACCCUAGAAUAGUUAGUGAGUUCUAUUAAAAAAAAAUAAUAAUAAAAAUAAAAAUAAGAUCUAUUGUUUACUUAGGAUGAGUCUGAACAGGACUUGGUGGCUAAAACCAUUAAGGCUUGAUUCAUAAAGACUCCAAUAAAAGAGUUCGAAACAGGACUUGGAGGUG